GACGAACGCUGGCGGCGUGCUUAACACAUGCAAGUCGAACGGAAAGGCUCCAGCUUGCUGGAGUGCUCGAGUGGCGAACGGGUGAGUAACACGUGGGCAAUCUGCCCUGCACUCUGGGAUAAGCCUGGGAAACUGGGUCUAAUACCGGAUAGGACCUUUCUCCUCAUGGGGUUUGGUGGAAAGUUUUUCGGUGCAGGAUGAGCCCGCGGCCUAUCAGCUUGUUGGUGGGGUAAUGGCCUACCAAGGCGACGACGGGUAGCCGGCCUGAGAGGGUGAUCGGACACAUUGGGACUGAGAUACGGCCCAGACUCCUACGGGAGGCAGCAGUGGGGAAUAUUGCACAAUGGGCGAAAGCCUGAUGCAGCGACGCCGCGUGAGGGAUGACGGCCUUCGGGUUGUAAACCUCUUUCAGUAGGGACGAAGCGCAAGUGACGUUACCUGCAGAAGAAGCACCGGCUAACUACGUG
rnacentral:rRNA from 1 species